GUAGGGUGCGAGCGUUAAUCGGAAUUACUGGGCGUAAAGCGUGCGCAGGCGGCGCCGCAAGUCGAGUGUGAAAUCCCCGAGCUUAACUUGGGAAUUGCGCUCGAAACUACGGUGCUGGAGUGUGGCAGAGGGAGGUGGAAUUCCACGUGUAGCGGUGAAAUGCGUAGAGAUGUGGAGGAACACCGAUGGCGAAGGCAGCCUCCUGGGCCAACACUGACGCUCAUGCACGAAAGCGUGGGGAGCAAACAGGAUUAGAUACCCUGGUAGUCCACGCCCUAAACGAUGAUGACUAGUUGUUGGGGGAGUUAAAUCCCUUAGUAACGCAGCUAACGCGUGAAGUCAUCCGCCUGGGGAGUACGGUCGCAAGAUUAAA
rnacentral:rRNA from 1 species